CCUACGGGAGGCAGCAGUGGGGAAUAUUGGACAAUGGGCGAAAGCCUGAUCCAGCAAUGCCGCGUGAGUGAUGAAGGCCUUAGGGUUGUAAAGCUCUUUUACCAGGGAUGAUAAUGACAGUACCUGGAGAAUAAGCUCCGGCUAACUCCGUGCCAGCAGCCGCGGUAAUACGGAGGGAGCUAGCGUUGUUCGGAAUUACUGGGCGUAAAGCGUACGUAGGCGGUUAUUCAAGUCAGAGGUGAAAGCCUGGAGCUCAACUCCAGAACUGCCUUUGAAACUAGAUAGCUAGAAUCUUGGAGAGGUGAGUGGAAUUCCGAGUGUAGAGGUGAAAUUCGUAGAUAUUCGGAAGAACACCAGUGGCGAAGGCGACUCACUGGACAAGUAUUGACGCUGAGGUACGAAAGCGUGGGGAGCAAACAGGAUUAGAUACCCUGGUAGUCCACGCCGUAAACGAUGAUAACUAGCUGUUCGGGCUCUACGAGCUUGUGUGGCGCAGCUACGACAUUAAGUUAGUCCGUCCGUCGGGAGGUACGGUCGCGAGAGUAAACGUACGUAAGUUAAGUUAGUAGNGUUGAGAGNGCGACGGACGACGACGAGGAGAGG
rnacentral:rRNA from 1 species